AAUGAACGUUGGCGGCGUGGAUUAGGCAUGCAAGUCGAGCGAGAACCCCGCAAGGGGGGACAGCGGCGAAAGGGACAGUACUGUGUAGAUUAUCUGCCCUCAGGUCCGGGAUAGCUGCGGGAAACUGCAGGUAAUACCGGAUAACAUCUCCGGAUCAAAGGUGUGAUUCCGCCUGAGGAUGAGUCUGCAUCCUAUUAGCUAGUUGGUGGGGUAAUGGCCUACCAAGGCAUUGAUGGGUAGCAGGUGUGAGAGCACGACCUGCGUCAUUGGGACUGAGACACUGCCCAGACACCUACGGGUGGCUGCAGUCGAGAAUCUUCGGCAAUGGGCGCAAGCCUGACCGAGCGACGCCGCGUGUGGGAUGAAGGCCUUCGGGUUGUAAACCACUGUCAGAGGGGAUGAAAUGCAGGUGGGUUCUCCCAUCUGUUUGACAUAGCCGCAGAGGAAGGACGGGCUAAGUUCGUG
rnacentral:rRNA from 1 species